rnacentral:rRNA from 1 species
AGAGUUUGAUCAUGGCUCAGGAUGAACGCUAGCGAUAGGCCUAACACAUGCAAGUCGAGGGGCAGCACAUGAAGUAGCAAUACGGAUGGUGGCGACCGGCGCACGGGUGAGUAACGCGUAUGCAACCUGCCUACAACAGGGGAAUAACCCGUUGAAAGACGGACUAGUACCCCAUAACACAGGGAUCCCGCAUGGGAAUAUUUGUUAAAGAUUUAUCGGUUGUAGAUGGGCAUGCGUUCCAUUAGCUGGUUGGUGAGGUAACGGCUCACCAAGGCAACGAUGGAUAGGGGAACUGAGAGGUUUAUCCCCCACACUGGUACUGAGACACGGACCAGACUCCUACGGGAGGCAGCAGUGAGGAAUAUUGGUCAAUGGACGCAAGUCUGAACCAGCCACGUCGCGUGAAGGAAGACGGCCCUACGGGUUGUAAACUUCUUUUGUAAGGGAAUAAAGUGCAGUACGUGUACUGUUUUGCAUGUACCUUACGAAUAAGGAUCGGCUAACUCCGUGCCAGCAGCCGCGGUAAUACGGAGGAUCCGAGCGUUAUCCGGAUUUAUUGGGUUUAAAGGGUGCGCAGGCGGGAGAUUAAGUCGGCGGUGAAAUUUUGCAGCUCAACUGUAAAAGUGCCUUCGAAACUGGUUUCCUUGAGUGUGGAUGAAGUAGGCGGAAUUUGUGGUGUAGCGGUGAAAUGCAUAGAUAUCACGAGGAACUCCGAUUGCGCAGGCAGCUUACUAAACCAUAACUGACGCUCAGGCACGAAGGCGUGGGGAUCAAACAGGAUUAGAUACCCUGGUAGUC